rnacentral:rRNA from 1 species
GACGAACGCUGGCGGCGUGCCUAAUACAUGCAAGUCGAGCGCAGGAAGCCGUCUGAACCCUUCGGGGGGACGACGGUGGAAUGAGCGGCGGACGGGUGAGUAACACGUAAAGAACCUGCCCAUAGGUCUGGGAUAACCACGAGAAAUCGGGGCUAAUACCGGAUGUGUCAUCGGACCGCAUGGUCCGAUGAUGAAAGGCGCUCCGGCGUCGCCCAUGGAUGGCUUUGCGGUGUAUUAGCUAGUUGGUGAGGUAACGGCCCACCAAGGCGACGAUGCAUAGCCGACCUGAGAGGGUGAGCGGCCACACUGGGACCGAGACACGGCCCAGACUCCUACGGGAGGCAGCAGUAGGGAAUCUUCCACAAUGGACGAAAGCCUGAUGGAGCAACGCCGCGUGAACGAUGAAGGCUUUCGGGUCGUAAAGUUCUGUUGUAAGGGAAGAACAAGUGCCGCAGGCAAUGGCGGCACCUUGACGGUACCUUGCGAGAAAGCCACGGCUAACUACGUGCCAGCAGCCGCCGUAA